UAACACGUGAGUAACCUGCCCCCGAGAGUGGGAUAGCCCUGGGAAACUGGGAUUAAUACCGCAUAGAAUCGCAAGAUUAAAGCAGCAAUGCGCUUGGGGAUGGGCUCGCGGCCUAUUAGUUAGUUGGUGAGGUAACGGCUCACCAAGGCGAUGACGGGUAGCCGGUCUGAGAGGAUGUCCGGCCACACUGGAACUGAGACACGGUCCAGACACCUACGGGUGGCAGCAGUCGAGAAUCAUUCACAAUGGGGGAAACCCUGAUGGUGCGACGCCGCGUGGGGGAAUGAAGGUCUUCGGAUUGUAAACCCCUGUCAUGUGGGAGCAAAUUAAAAAGAUAGUACCACAAGAGGAAGAGACGGCUAACUCUGUGCCAGCAGCCGCGGUAAUACAGAGGUCUCAAGCGUUGUUCGGAAUCACUGGGCGUAAAGCGUGCGUAGGCUGUUUCGUAAGUCGUGUGUGAAAGGCGCGGGCUCAACCCGCGGACGGCACUUGAUACUGCGAGACUAGAGUAAUGGAGGGGGAACCGGAAUUCUCGGUGUAGCAGUGAAAUGCGUAGAUAUCGAGAGGAACACUCGUGGCGAAGGCGGGUUCCUGGACAUUAACUGACGCUGAGGCACGAAGGCCAGGGGAGCGAAAGGGAUUAGAUACCCCUGUAGUCCUGGCAGUAAACGGUGCACGCUUGGUGUGCGGGGAAU
rnacentral:rRNA from 1 species